UACGUAGGGUGCGAGCGUUGUCCGGAAUCACUGGGCGUAAAGGGCGCGUAGGCGGCCUUGCAAGUCGGUUGGUGAAAGCCCGGGGCUCAACCCCGGAGGUGCGGCCGAGACUGCAGGGCUGGAGGCCGGAAGAGGAGGGUGGAAUACCCAGUGUAGAGGUGAAAUUCGUAGAUAUUGGGUGGAACACCGGUGGCGAAAGCGGCUCUCUGGUCCGGACCUGACGCUGAGGCGCGAAAGCGUGGGGAGCAAACAGG
rnacentral:rRNA from 1 species